rnacentral:rRNA from 1 species
UCAAGUGAAGAAGCGCAUACGGUGGAUGCCUUGGCAGUCAGAGGCGAUGAAAGACGUGGUAGCCUGCGAAAAGCUUCGGGGAGUCGGCAAACAGACUGUGAUCCGGAGAUAUCUGAAUGGGGGAACCCAGCCAUCAUAAGAUGGUUAUCUUGUACUGAAUACAUAGGUGCAAGAGGCGAACCAGGGGAACUGAAACAUCUAAGUACCCUGAGGAAAAAAAAUCAACCGAGAUUCCCUUAGUAGUGGCGAGCGAACGGGGACCAGCCCUUAAGUUGUAUUGAGAUUAGCGGAACGUUCUGGAAAGGACGGCCAUAGUGGGUGAUAGCCCUGUACGCGAAAAUCCCUUUGCAAUGAAAUCGAGUAGGACGGGGCACGAGAAACCUUGUCUGAAUAUGGGGGGACCAUCCUCCAAGGCUAAAUACUACUGACUGACCGAUAGUGAACCAGUACCGUGAGGGAAAGGCGAAAAGAACCGCGGAGAGCGGAGUGAAAUAGAUCCUGAAACCGUAUGCGUACAAGCAGUGGGAGCCCACUUUGUUGGGUGACUGCGUACCUUUUGUAUAAUGGGUCAGCGACUUAUUUUCAGUGGCGAGCUUAACCGAAUAGGGGAGGCGUAGCGAAAGCGAGUCUUAAUAGGGCGUCUAGUCGCUGGGAAUAGACCCGAAACCGGGCGAUCUAUCCAUGGGCAGGUUGAAGGUUGGGUAACACUAACUGGAGGACCGAACCGACUACCGUUGAAAAGUUAGCGGAUGACCUGUGGAUCGGAGUGAAAGGCUAAUCAAGCUCGGAGAUAGCUGGUUCUCCUCGAAAGCUAUUUAGGUAGCGCCUCAUGUAUCACUGUAGGGGGUAGAGCACUGUUUCGGCUAGGGGGUCAUCCCGACUUACCAAACUGAUGCAAACUCCGAAUACCUACAAGUGCCGAGCAUGGGAGACACACGGCGGGUGCUAACGUCCGUCGUGAAAAGGGAAACAACCCAGACCGUCAGCUAAGGUCCCAAAGUCAUGGUUAAGUGGGAAACGAUGUGGGAAGGCUUAGACAGCUAGGAGGUUGGCUUAGAAGCAGCCACCCUUUAAAGAAAGCGUAAUAGCUCACUAGUCGAGUCGGCCUGCGCGGAAGAUGUAACGGGGCUCAAACCAUGCACCGAAGCUACGGGUAUCAUCUUUUGAUGAUGCGGUAGAGGAGCGUUCUGUAAGCCUGUGAAGGUGAGUUGAGAAGCUUGCUGGAGGUAUCAGAAGUGCGAAUGCUGACAUGAGUAACGACAAUGGGUGUGAAAAACACCCACGCCGAAAGACCAAGGUUUCCUGCGCAACGUUAAUCGACGCAGGGUUAGUCGGUCCCUAAGGCGAGGCUGAAAAGCGUAGUCGAUGGAAAACAGGUUAAUAUUCCUGUACUUCUGGUUAUUGCGAUGGAGGGACGGAGAAGGCUAGGCCAGCCUGGCGUUGGUUGUCCAGGUUUAAGGUGGUAGGCUGAGAUCUUAGGUAAAUCCGGGAUCUUAAGGCCGAGAGCUGAUGACGAGUGUUCUUUUAGAACACGAAGUGGUUGAUGCCAUGCUUCCAAGAAAAGCUUCUAAGCUUCAGGUAACCAGGAACCGUACCCCAAACCGACACAGGUGGUUGGGUAGAGAAUACCAAGGCGCUUGAGAGAACUCGGGUGAAGGAACUAGGCAAAAUGGCACCGUAACUUCGGGAGAAGGUGCGCCGGUGGAGGUGAAGCAUUUACUGCGUAAGCCCCUGCCGGUCGAAGAUACCAGGCCGCUGCGACUGUUUAUUAAAAACACAGCACUCUGCAAACACGAAAGUGGACGUAUAGGGUGUGACGCCUGCCCGGUGCCGGAAGGUUAAUUGAUGGGGUUAGCGCAAGCGAAGCUCUUGAUCGAAGCCCCGGUAAACGGCGGCCGUAACUAUAACGGUCCUAAGGUAGCGAAAUUCCUUGUCGGGUAAGUUCCGACCUGCACGAAUGGCGUAACGAUGGCGGCGCUGUCUCCACCCGAGACUCAGUGAAAUUGAAAUCGCUGUGAAGAUGCAGUGUAUCCGCGGCUAGACGGAAAGACCCCGUGAACCUUUACUAUAGCUUUGCACUGGACUUUGAAUUUGCCUGUGUAGGAUAGGUGGGAGGCUUUGAAGCGUGGACGCCAGUCUGCGUGGAGCCAACCUUGAAAUACCACCCUGGCAACUUUGAGGUUCUAACUCAGGUCCGUUAUCCGGAUCGAGGACAGUGUAUGGUGGGUAGUUUGACUGGGGCGGUCUCCUCCUAAAGAGUAACGGAGGAGUACGAAGGUGCGCUCAGACCGGUCGGAAAUCGGUCGUAGAGUAUAAAGGCAAAAGCGCGCUUGACUGCGAGACAGACACGUCGAGCAGGUACGAAAGUAGGUCUUAGUGAUCCGGUGGUUCUGUAUGGAAGGGCCAUCGCUCAACGGAUAAAAGGUACUCCGGGGAUAACAGGCUGAUACCGCCCAAGAGUUCAUAUCGACGGCGGUGUUUGGCACCUCGAUGUCGGCUCAUCACAUCCUGGGGCUGAAGCCGGUCCCAAGGGUAUGGCUGUUCGCCAUUUAAAGUGGUACGCGAGCUGGGUUUAGAACGUCGUGAGACAGUUCGGUCCCUAUCUGCCGUGGACGUUUGAGAUUUGAGAGGGGCUGCUCCUAGUACGAGAGGACCGGAGUGGACGAACCUCUGGUGUUCCGGUUGUCACGCCAGUGGCAUUGCCGGGUAGCUAUGUUCGGAAAAGAUAACCGCUGAAAGCAUCUAAGCGGGAAACUUGCCUCAAGAUGAGAUCUCACUGGAACCUUGAGUUCCCUGAAGGGCCGUCGAAGACUACGACGUUGAUAGGUUGGGUGUGUAAGCGCUGUGAGGCGUUGAGCUAACCAAUACUAAUUGCCCGUGAGGCUUGACCAU